ACAUACUUCAACCUAUGGGA
rnacentral:misc_RNA from 1 species